rnacentral:rRNA from 1 species
CCUACGGGAGGCAGCAGUGAGGAAUAUUGGUCAAUGGACGAGAGUCUGAACCAGCCAAGUCGCGUGAAGGAUGACUGCUCUAUGGGUUGUAAACUUCUUUUAUAUGGGAAUAAAAUGUUGUACGUGUGGGAUUUUGUAUGUCCCAUAUGGAUCAGGAUCGGCUAACUCCGUGCCAGCAGCCGCGGUAAUACGGAGGAUCCGGGCGUUAUCCGGAUUUAUUGGGUUUAAAGGGUGCGUAGGUGGAUUGUUAAGUCAGUUGUGAAAGUUUGCGGCUCAACCGUAAAAUUGCAGUUGAAAAUGGCAGGCUUGAGUACAGUAGAGGUGAGCGGAAUUCGUGGUGUAGCGGUGAAAUGCUUAGAUAUCACGAAGAACUCCGAUUGCGAAGGCAGUUCACUGGGCUGCAACUGACGCUGAGGCUCGAAAGUGUGGGUAUCAAACAGGAUUAGAGACCCUGGUAGUC